rnacentral:rRNA from 1 species
GACGAACGCUGGCGGCGUGCUUAACACAUGCAAGUCGAACGGAAAGGCCCUGCUUUUGUUGGUUGCUCGAGUGGCGAACGGGUGAGUAACACGUGAGUAACCUGCCCUUGACUUUGGGAUAACUUCAGGAAACUCGGGCUAAUACCGGAUAUGAUCUCCUGCUGCAUGGUGGUGGUUGGAAAGUUUCGGCGGUUGUGGAUGGUCUCGCUGCUUAUCCGCUUGUUUGUGUGGUAGUUGCUUACCAAGGUUUUGACGGGUAGCCGGCCUGAGAGGGUGACCGGCGACAAUGGGACUGAGAUACGGACCAGAAUCGUACGGGAGGCAGCAGUGGGGAAUAUUGCACAAUGGGCGGAAGCCUGAUGCAGAAACGCCGCGUGCGGGAUGACGGCCUUCGGGUUGUAAACCGAUUUCGCAUGUGACGAAGAGUGAGUGACGGUAAUGGGUAAAGAAGCACCGGCUAACUACGUG